GCUGGAAACGGAUAGCUCAGUUGGUUAGAACGUGGUGCUGAUAAUGCCAAGGUUGCAGGUUCGAUCCCCGUGCAUCUUCCUGCA